AUUGCGAGGUGAAAUUUGAGGGAAGCUGUAAACAAAUCUCUGGUCUGACGGACAGAAAUCACAUAUAAGGCUAGAGCCACCAUUCCGGGGAAUGAGAGCCAGUCAAAAUCGAUGAUUUUGUUUCAAUAGAUUUACUUACCAGAACAAUGCUUGUAAAGGCAGC
rnacentral:ncRNA from 1 species